GUGGGGAAUCUUCCGCAAUGGACGAAAGUCUGACGGAGCAACGCCGCGUGAGUGAAGAAGGUUUUCGGAUCGUAAAGCUCUGUUGUUUGAGACGAAUGUGCAGACUUUGAAUAAGGGUUUGUAAUGACGGUAUUAAACGAGAAAGCCACGGCUAACUACGUGCCAGCAGCCGCGGUAAUACGUAGGUGGCAAGCGUUGUCCGGAAUUAUUGGGCGUAAAGGGAGCGCAGGUGGGAAUGUAAGUCAGUCUUAAAAGUGCGGGGCUCAACCCCGUGAGGGGAUUGAAACUACAUUUCUUGAGUGCAGGAGAGGAAAGUGGAAUUCCUAGUGUAGCGGUGAAAUGCGUAGAGAUUAGGAGGAACACCAGUGGCGAAGGCGACUUUCUGGACUGUAACUGACACUGAGGCUCGAAAGCCAGGGGAGCGAACGGGAUUAGAAACCCCUGUAGUCC
rnacentral:rRNA from 1 species